CACUCACCCCUCCCCUUCCCAUUCCUCUUUUACCCUGAAGUCAUGGGCUUUUUCUGAACACGAAUCUGACUCUAUCACUCUAGUUAAUGGCCUUUAAUACCUCCUCAUCACCUUCAGGGAUAAAGUCCUGGCUAUUUAGCCAGCAUUCAAGGUCCUGAGUGUCACCUGGCCCUUGGCUUCCUCUCUGGCCUCAUUUCCUAUCAUAUCCUCCACCCCUACUCCAAACACACACUUACACCCACACAACCACACACACUCAACGCACUCGUGCAUUCACACACUCACACACAUGCACUGGCACUCACACACUCACUUGCACUCACAUACACAUCGGGGGGGUCACACACUCCAUGAACUCACAUUCACUCGCACUCAGACACACAUUCUCACACACACACUAACACACACUGACACAUUCAGUCACAUUCACACACAGACAUGCACUUGCACUCAUACACACAUACACUCACAUUCUUUCACACUCACAUUCUCUCACACAUUCUCACACUCACAUUCUCACUCAAUGCACACAUAUUCUCUCACACACAUUCACUCACACACUCACAUUCUCUCAGACACACUCACACACUCACAUUUUUCUCACAUGCACUCACACACUUUCUCUCAUUCGCACUCUCACAUUCACUCACACGCACUCACACACUCACAUUCACUCACACACACUCACACACAUUCAAACGCACUCACAUUCUCACACACACA
rnacentral:lncRNA from 1 species